rnacentral:rRNA from 1 species
AAGAGAGAGACAUGCGCGCAUAUCAAUAAGCGGAGGAAAAGAAACUAACAAGGAUUCCCCUAGUAACGGCGAGUGAAGCGGGAAGAGCUCAAAUUUGAAAUCUUAAAGGGUUUCCCUUUACGAAUUGUAGUUUAAAGAAGUGUUUUCUGUUGAGGUUUUGGUAAAAGUUCUUUGGAAUAGGACAUCAUAGAGGGUGAGAAUCCCGUAUUUGACCUUUACUUUCAACUUUGUGAUACACUUUCAAAGAGUCGGAUUGUUUGGGAAUGCAGUCCAAAAUGGGUGGUAAAUUUCAUCUAAAGCUAAAUAUUGGCGAGAGACCGAUAGCGAACAAGUACCGUGAGGGAAAGAUGAAAAGAACUUUGAAAAGAGAGUUAAACAGUACGUGAAAUUGUCAAAAGGGAAGCGUUUGACACCAGUGUUGUUUUUCUGAAAAUCAAUUAAAGAACUGUUUAUGCUAAGCUGUUUAGACUUUAUCAGCUAUCUGUUUAGUUUUGAGCUUUUCUUUAAUGCACUUUUCAGUUAACAAGUCAACAUCAAUUUCUUUUGCUGUAAAAGAGCUUGAGGAAGGUGGCUUGAGAUUCGUCUUAAGUGUUUAUAGCCUCUUGCCUAUGCAGUCGGAGAGAUUGAGGUCUGCAGCGUAGAUCCUUCGGGGCUAAAUGCAUUUGUGCUAAGUUAUAGCAUUUUAUAGGACAACUUGUUGACUAUGAUUUGUCUUGUAGCUUACUCGCUUAUGUUAUUUUACCUACGCUUAGGAUGUUGAGCGCAUGUCUCUCUCU